AUACGUAUGGAGCAAGCGUUAUCCGGAUUUACUGGGUGUAACGGGAGCGUAGACGGCAUAGCAAGUCUGAAGUGAAAUCCCAUGGCUUAACCAUGGAACUGCUUUGGAAACUGCCAGGCUAGAGUGCAGGAGAGGUAAGCGGAAUUCCUAGUGUAGUGGUGAAAUGCGUAGAUAUUAGGAGGAACACCGGUGGCGAAGGCGGCUUACUGGACUGUAACUGACGUUGAGGAUCGAAAGCGUGGGGAGAAAACAGGAUUAGAUACCCGGGUAGUCCACGCCGUAAACGAUGAAUACUAGGUGUCGGGUUUCUAUAGAGAUUCGGUGCCGCAGCAAACGCAAUAAGUAUUCCACCUGGGGAGUACGUUCGCAAGAAUGAAACUUAAAGGAAUUGGCGGGG
rnacentral:rRNA from 1 species